rnacentral:misc_RNA from 1 species
UACGAAGGUGACUAGCGUUGUUCGGAAUCACUGGGCGUAAAGCGUGCGCAGGCGGCUUUCUAAGUCAGGGGUGAAAUCCCAGGGCUCAACCCUGGAAUUGCCUUUGAAACUGGAAAGCUGGAGUACUGGAGGGGUUGGCGGAAUUCCUAAUGUAGCGGUGAAAUGCGUAGAUAUUAGGAGGAACACCGGUGGCGAAGGCGGCCAACUGGACAGUCACUGACGCUCAUGCACGAAAGCGUGGGGAUCAAACAGG